UCCCUGGUGGUCCAGUGGUUAGGAGCUGGCACUUUCACUGCCAUGGGCCGGGGUUUAAUCCCUGGUCAGGGAG
rnacentral:tRNA from 1 species